GACGAACGCUGGCGGCGUGCUUAACACAUGCAAGUCGAACGGUAAGGCCCUUUCGGGGGUACACGAGUGGCGAACGGGUGAGUAACACGUGGGUGAUCUGCCCUGCACUUUGGGAUAAGCCUGGGAAACUGGGUCUAAUACCGGAUAGGACUACGCGAUGCAUGUCGUGUGGUGGAAAGCUUUUGCGGUGUGGGAUGGGCCCGCGGCCUAUCAGCUUGUUGGUGGGGUGAUGGCCUACCAAGGCGACGACGGGUAGCCGGCCUGAGAGGGUGUCCGGCCACACUGGGACUGAGAUACGGCCCAGACUCCUACGGGAGGCAGCAGUGGGGAAUAUUGCACAAUGGGCGCAAGCCUGAUGCAGCGACGCUGCGUGGGGGAUGACGGCCUUCGGGUUGUAAACCCCUUUCAGCACAGACGAAGCGUAAGUGACGGUAUGUGCAGAAGAAGCACCGGCCAACUACGUG
rnacentral:rRNA from 1 species